rnacentral:rRNA from 1 species
UGGGGAAUAUUGGACAAUGGGCGCAAGCCUGAUCCAGCCAUGCCGCGUGAGUGACGAAGGCCUUAGGGUUGUAAAGCUCUUUUGGCGGGGACGAUAAUGACGGUACCCGCAGAAUAAGCCCCGGCUAACUUCGUGCCAGCAGCCGCGGUAAUACGAAGGGGGCUAGCGUUGUUCGGAAUUACUGGGCGUAAAGCGCACGUAGGCGGAUGUGCCAGUCAGGGGUGAAAUCCCGAGGCUCAACCUCGGAACUGCCUCCGAUACAGCACGUCUCGAGUCCGGAAGAGGUGAGUGGAAUUCCUAGUGUAGAGGUGAAAUUCGUAGAUAUUAGGAAGAACACCAGCGGCGAAGGCGGCUCACUGGUCCGGUACUGACGCUGAGGUGCGAAAGCGUGGGGAGCAAACAGGAUUAGAUACCCAGGUAGUCCCUGAGCGGGCUGGCAAGGCGCAU